ensembl:snRNA U6 U6 spliceosomal RNA
GUGCUCCCUUUGGGAACACAUGUACUAAAAUUGGAACAAUACGGAGAAGAUUAGCAUGGUCCCUGCGCAAGGAUGACACGCAGAUUAGUAAAGCGUUCCAUAUUUUU